AGUUCUCGUUGAUGAUCGGUGCUUGCACUGAGAUUCAACAUGGAACGAGUGGCGGACGGGUGAGUAACACGUGGGUAACCUGCCCUUAAGUGGGGGAUAACAUUUGGAAACAGAUGCUAAUACCGCAUAGAUCCAAGAACCGCAUGGUUCUUGGCUGAAAGAUGGCGUAAGCUAUCGCUUUUGGAUGGACCCGCGGCGUAUUAGCUAGUUGGUGAGGUAAUGGCUCACCAAGGCGAUGAUACGUAGCCGAACUGAGAGGUUGAUCGGCCACAUUGGGACUGAGACACGGCCCAAACUCCUACGGGAGGCAGCAGUAGGGAAUCUUCCACAAUGGACGCAAGUCUGAUGGAGCAACGCCGCGUGAGUGAAGAAGGCUUUCGGGUCGUAAAACUCUGUUGUUGGAGAAGAAUGGUCGGCAGAGUAACUGUUGUCGGCGUGACGGUAUCCAACCAGAAAGCCACGGCUAACUACGUGCCAGCAGCCGCGGUAAUACGUAGGUGGCAAGCGUUAUCCGGAUUUAUUGGGCGUAAAGCGAGCGCAGGCGGUUUUUUAAGUCUGAUGUGAAAGCCCUCGGCUUAACCGAGGAAGCGCAUCGGAAACUGGGAAACUUGAGUGCAGAAGAGGACAAUGGAACUCCAUGUGUAGCGGUGAAAUGCGUAGAUAUAUGGAAGAACACCAGUGGCGAAGGCGGCUGUCUGGUCUGUAACUGACGCUGAGGCUCGAAAGCAUGGGUAGCGAACAGGAUUAGAUACCCUGGUAGUCCAUGCCGUAAACGAUGAAUGCUAGGUGUUGGAGGGUUUCCGCCCUUCAGUGCCGCAGCUAACGCAUUAAGCAUUC
rnacentral:rRNA from 1 species